rnacentral:rRNA from 1 species
UACGUAGGGUGCGAGCGUUAAUCGGAAUUACUGGGCGUAAAGCGUGCGCAGGCGGUCGCACAAGACAGAUGUGAAAUCCCCGGGCUCAACCUGGGAACUGCAUUUGUGACUGUGCGGCUGGAGUGCGGCAGAGGGGGAUGGAAUUCCGCGUGUAGCAGUGAAAUGCGUAGAUAUGCGGAGGAACACCGAUGGCGAAGGCAAUCCCCUGGGCCUGCACUGACGCUCAUGCACGAAAGCGUGGGGAGCAAACAGG